rnacentral:rRNA from 1 species
ACCGAGAAAGACCGCUGGGGCGUAACCCGCCAAGGAAGGGCGAGGCGCCUAAGGUCGUGGUUCGUGACUGGGGUG